rnacentral:rRNA from 1 species
UACCUGCAGUCGAGCGGCAGCGCGGGGGCAACCCUGGCGGCGAGCGGCGGACGGGUGAGGAAUGCGUCGGAAUCUGCCUCUUUGUGGGGGAUAACGUAGGGAAACUUACGCUAAUACCGCAUACGACCUACGGGUGAAAGUGGGGGACCGCAAGGCCUCACGCAGAGAGAUGAGCCGACGCCGGAUUAGCUAGUUGGCGGGGUAAAGGCCCACCAAGGCGACGAUCCGUAGCUGGUCUGAGAGGAUGAUCAGCCACACUGGAACUGAGACACGGUCCAGACUCCUACGGGAGGCAGCAGUGGGGAAUAUUGGACAAUGGGCGCAAGCCUGAUCCAGCCAUGCCGCGUGUGUGAAGAAGGCCUUCGGGUUGUAAAGCACUUUUGUCCGGAAAGAAAUCCAAUCGAUUAAUACUCGGUUGGGAUGACGGUACCGGAAGAAUAAGCACCGGCUAACUUCGUGCCAGCAGCCGCGGUAAUACGAAGGGUGCAAGCGUUACUCGGAAUUACUGGGCGUAAAGCGUGCGUAGGUGGUUCGUUAAGUCUGAUGUGAAAGCCCUGGGCUCAACCUGGGAAUGGCAUUGGAUACUGGCGACCUAGAGUGCGGUAGAGGGUAGCGGAAUUCCCGGUGUAGCAGUGAAAUGCGUAGAUAUCGGGAGGAACAUCCGUGGCGAAGGCGGCUACCUGGACCAGCACUGACACUGAGGCACGAAAGCGUGGGGAGCAAACAGGAUUAGAUACCCUGGUAGUCCACGCCCUAAACGAUGCGAACUGGAUGUUGGGUGCAACUUGGCACUCAGUAUCGAAGCUAACGCGUUAAGUUCGCCGCCUGGGAAGUACGGUCGCAAGACUGAAACUCAAAGGAAUUGACGGGGGCCCGCACAAGCGGUGGAGUAUGUGGUUUAAUUCGAUGCAACGCGCAGAACCUUACCUGGCCUUGACAUGUCGCGAACUUUCCAAAAAUGGAUUGGUGCCUUCGGGAACGCGAACACAGGUGCUGCAUGGCUGUCCUCACCUCGGGCCGUGAAAUGUUGGGUUAAGUCCCGAAAGAAGGGAACCC